rnacentral:rRNA from 1 species
GUGCCAGCCGCCGCGGUAAUACGGAGGGUGCAAGCGUUAAUCGGAAUUACUGGGCGUAAAGCGCACGUAGGCGGUAUGUUAAGUUGGAUGUGAAAGCCCCGGGCUCAACCUGGGAAUUGCAUUCAAAACUGGCAUGCUAGAGUAUGUGAGAGGGGGGUAGAAUUCCAAGUGUAGCGGUGAAAUGCGUAGAGAUUUGGAGGAAUACCAGUGGCGAAGGCGGCCCCCUGGCACAAUACUGACGCUCAGGUGCGAAAGCGUGGGGAGCAAACAGGAUUAGAUACCCUGGUAGUCCACGCCGUAAACGAUGUCUACUAGCUGUUCGUGGUCUUGUACUGUGAGUAGCGCAGCUAACGCACUAAGUAGACCGCCUGGGGAGUACGGUCGCAAGAUUAAA